rnacentral:rRNA from 1 species
UACGAAGGGGGCUAGCGUUGUUCGGAAUCACUGGGCGUAAAGGGCGCGUAGGCGGCGUUUUUAAGUCGGGGGUGAAAGCCUGUGGCUCAACCACAGAAUGGCCUCGAUACUGGGACGCUUGAGUAUGGUAGAGGUUGGUGGAACUGCGAGUGUAGAGGUGAAAUUCGUAGAUAUUGGGAAGAACACCGGUGGCGAAGGCGGCCAACUGGACCACAACUGACGCUGAGGCGCGAAAGCGUGGGGAGCAAACAGG